ensembl:lncRNA
AACAGAACUUGGAACCGUUGCCAGCAGGCAUCACAAUCUAGUACCAAUCAUCUCCUGAGCUCAUUUGGCUGGAGAUGGCCAACAGCGAACAUGCUGAGCUGCUUCUCCACUUCUCGAGGUUGCAACCUCAGGACCCCAGGCAGAGAAGGUGUCUACGAAAGAUUGAGAAGAUGGCUGACUCCAUCCAGAUGCCACAGGCCAUGCUGCAGCAGCCACACAACUGUCACAGACACCCCAGAGAAGGUCUCCCUGGGAGUGACCAUCAGUGACCUACCAAAAUCAAGGCCUGAGCCAAGGACAUUCAGGGCUAAUCAGAGGUGGUGUAGCUCCAAAUUCAAUGCCUGGUAUCUCCCUCCAUCUUCCACCAUCCACCACUGGCUCCAGAAGAAGCUGACCCACCCAGCCUCAAGACUGUGCUCUUAUUACUGAGAAUAGAGCCUCCAGAAGCAAGCAACUACCUCCCCAGGGAAGACCAGACAAAUCCUCAAGCGCCACUUGAAGGCUGCUUUCCAGCUUUGAGCCACUGCCUUUCCUUCCGCUACAAGAAAAAAGAAAUGUACAAAGUCUUACUUUCCCUGUGUCAUCAGUUAUCCCUAUCAGGCAUACCUGGAUGGUCUGUGGGGAAGUCUCCUUCAAGCCACCAUGCAUACCCUUACAGAGAAGGGAGAUGUCCUUCCCACACUUGCUGCCCCUUCCUGAACUUGAUGUGGACCAGAUGCAAACCUUCUACAGGCAAAGCCACAUUUACCCACAGAGACACUGCUCACCCAAAGGUCAGCAGACCAGCUUCCCAGCUCCUGCCAACAAGGUUCCCAGAGAAGGAGAACACCAGAGUUCAAGAAUCCAACAGGUUCAGGGGUGAGAGUAGGUGUCCCUGUGGGGAGCCCACCUCUUGACCAAUCCAGUUGCCUUAUCCACUCUACCACACACCCUGUUUGGGUGACUCCCCAAUAAGACUAAGCCUGACUCCAGUGAAGACAAAGGGACACUCCCCAUACAGAGGCCAGGCAGUGUUAAUGUCCCCUGAGCUGUGCUUCUGAGCCCCAAAGAUCCUGAAGGAGCAGAAGCCCACCCGGUGGGGAGAAGGAGGGGCUUUGAGAAACAGCAAGCUCCAUCUGGAGGAGCUUCACUUUUAUCUGCUUUAUAUGUGGCGUUUCUGUGUAUGAUUUCAUCUCAAAAAAGGGUUUGCUGCUAAAAAUAAUUUUAAAACCACCAAAUUAGAUGACCUUUUUCAAGCCCCUUCCAGUACAGAAAUGUAAUAUACUCCGAGCUAGACAAAGCUCUGUUUUUUCCUUUUAAUUUUCACUCUUAGGAAGCACUGUCUGUCUGUCUGCUGAGGACCCAGCAGGUAGCUAAGCUGGUACAUAUGGGUACAGAGGCAGAUGGAGAGCUGUAUUUAUCUUCCUUCACCUUCUUCCAUCUUGGCCUCUCAUGGUCUCUGUAACUCUCUGUGUCUCUUACUGCUACCCAAUAAAGAUUUAGAG